rnacentral:rRNA from 1 species
GACGUAGGGCGCGAGCGUUGUCCGGAUUUAUUGGGCGUAAAGAGCUCGUAGGCGGUUCGAUAAGUCGGACGUGAAAUCUCCACGCUCAACGUGGAGGGGCCGUUCGAUACUGUCGUGACUCGAGUCCGGUAGGGGAGUGUGGAAUUCCCGGUGUAGCGGUGAAAUGCGCAGAGAUCGGGAGGAACACCCGUAGCGAAGGCGGCACUCUGGGCCGGUACUGACGCUGAGGAGCGAAAGCGUGGGGAGCAAACAGGG